rnacentral:lncRNA from 1 species
CAGAUUCUGCAGGCCUAGACUGCAGUCCUGGGUGAGCAUGGCGGGGACAGGUGCAUCCCAAGGAAACAUACCCCUGGAAUCCUGGAGACGUUCCAGAUCACCUUCCAUGGGAUCUGCUUCAUACGUGUCACCGACACGAUAAUCUGGAAUAGAGAAAAGCAGAAAUGCUAUGCAAUAUUCCUUGCUGCACCAUUUACCCAUCAAGUUUGCUGUGCUCCAGGCCCUCUGUGCUCAGUGGGCACAGCUCUCCCCUUUAGGAUGUCCCUCUCUGCUCCAUGGUGGGAUGCCUGGUGAAGCUGGAAAGCCAUCAUUUCAAAGGGAACAGAGUCGAUGUAAGAGCCUGUUUUUUCCCUGGCAGACCCACCAUCCAACACUGCUUUCCAGGCAGCUUUAAGAGUUUGUUUCCCCUCUGCUUCGCUCAGUGCCCAACCUACCUGGACUAAGUGCUUCCCACGCAACAUUGCGGGGUCGCCCAUGACAUGGAGUCACAAGGAAAAGGAGAAGGAAGAGCAAAAAGCAACACCUGGGAGCAAUUCUCUCCCGUAGUUGCCCCAUGCUACCUCUCGUCCACAACCAGCAAGGCACCCUCCUUUGGAGGCUUGAGGCAAGACUGGUCAACUGGUACCUCCUGGCGUGACAUAGUAUGGGGUUCCUGAACAUCACCAUGAUGCCCAUUAUGACCUCACAAAGCACCUCUUGAGGCACACCUUGAGGCAAGAAAACUCUGCUCGGCCUUUCUGAGUUAGAAAUUCUUUAGCACCUUAUUAAGAUGUAAGUUUCCAAAGAAGGCCCGUUGUUUUAGUAUUCCUGCAGAGUUGGUUAGGAUGUGCAAUACUGUCUUUAUACUCAGCUGUACACAUUGAAGGAAUCUCAAGCUUCACCGCAGACUGAAGUGUAUCAGGAUGCAAAACAACAGAAGUCCCACUGAUCCCAUCCCCUGACAAAUAUAGCUAUGUUUCCUGUGCAGAAUAAUACAGCCUAAGUGUGACUUCUGUAUUUAAAACGCAGACCAAGUAGGACUACAGUAUUAAUGUGUGCUGCUUUAUGCAUGUCACGGGUUAAGCGAAAAUCUACCUGUGCCAGUGACGGGGGGACAGCUGGCCUGCAGGUUUGCUGGCCCAAAAGGAAAGGGAAAAAAGGGGAAUUAGAAAAGAGAACAGAGGCAACAAUCUAAGGAGGCACACUUAUUUACUAAAUUCUAUAUCGAAAUACAGGAUAACACAAUAUAAUACAAUAUAACUAAAAUUAAGGCUAAUGAAUCAA